CCUACGGGUGGCUGCAGUGAGGAAUAUUGGUCAAUGGACGAGAGUCUGAACCAGCCAAGUCGCGUGAGGGAAGACGGCCCUAUGGGUUGUAAACCUCUUUUGUCGGGGAGCAAAGCGAGUCACGUGUGACUGAUUGAGAGUAUCCGAAGAAAAAGCAUCGGCUAACUCCGUGCCAGCAGCCGCGGUAAUACGGAGGAUGCGAGCGUUAUCCGGAUUUAUUGGGUUUAAAGGGUGCGCAGGCGGAGGAGCAAGUCAGCGGUAAAAUUGCGGGGCUCAACCCCGUAUUGCCGUUGAAACUGGAUCGCUUGAGUGCGCGAGAAGUAGGCGGAAUGCGUGGUGUAGCGGUGAAAUGCAUAGAUAUCACGCAGAACUCCGAUUGCGAAGGCAGCAUACCGGCGCGCAACUGACGCUCAUGCACGAAAGCGUGGGUAUCGAACAGGAUUAGAUACCCCAGUAGUC
rnacentral:rRNA from 1 species